UACAGAGGGGGCAAGCGUUGUUCGGAAUUACUGGGCGUAAAGGGUGCGCAGGCGGCUCCGCAUGUCGGGCGUGAAAUCCCCGGGCUUAACCUGGGAAUUGCGUCCGAAACUAUGGAGCUGGAGUGUGGCAGAGGGAGGUGGAAUUCCACGUGUAGCGGUGAAAUGCGUAGAGAUGUGGAGGAACACCGAUGGCGAAGGCAGCCUCCUGGGCCAACACUGACGCUCAUGCACGAAAGCGUGGGGAGCAAACAGG
rnacentral:rRNA from 1 species